CCUUGAUGUGUAGGAUAGGUGGGAGGCUUUGAAGUGUGGACGCCAGUCUGCAUGGAGCCGACCUUGAAAUACCACCCUUUAAUGUUUGAUGUUCUAACGUUGGCCCCUAAUCGGGGUUGCGGACAGUGUCUGGUGGGUAGUUUGACUGGGGCGGUCUCCUCCUAAAGAGUAACGGAGGAGCACGAAGGUUGGCUAAUCCUGGUCGGACAUCAGGAGGUUAGUGCAAUGGCAUAAGCCAGCUUGACUGCGAGCGUGACGGCGCGAGCAGGUGCGAAAGCAGGUCAUAGUGAUCCGGUGGUUCUGAAUGGAAGGGCCAUCGCUCAACGGAUAAAAGGUACUCCGGGGAUAACAGGCUGAUACCGCCCAAGAGUUCAUAUCGACGGCGGUGUUUGGCACCUCGAUGUCGGCUCAUCACAUCCUGGGGCUGAAGUAGGUCCCAAGGGUAUGGCUGUUCGCCAUUUAAAGUGGUACGCGAGCUGGGUUUAGAACGUCGUGAGACAGUUCGGUCCCUAUCUGCCGUGGGCGCUGGAGAACUGAGGGGGGCUGCUCCUAGUACGAGAGGACCGGAGUGGACGCAUCACUGGUGUUCGGGUUGUCAUGCCAAUGGCACUGCCCGGUAGCUAAAUGCGGAAGAGAUAAGUGCUGAAAGCAUCUAAGCACGAAACUUGCCCCGAGAUGAGUUCUCCCUGACUCCCUGAGAGUCCUGAAGGAACGUUGAA
rnacentral:rRNA from 1 species